CCCCCUGUAUCUAAGUUUAAGUGCUGGAUUCUUACUUCAGUGAUGUGUGUUGACACCAGCGGGU
rnacentral:tRNA from 3 species